rnacentral:rRNA from 1 species
UGGGUGGAGCAUGUGGUUUAAUUCGAUGCAACGCGAAGAACCUUACCUGGUCUUGACAUCCACAGAACUUUCCAGAGAUGGAUUGGUGCCUUCGGGAACUGUGAGACAGGUGCUGCAUGGCUGUCGUCAGCUCGUGUUGUGAAAUGUUGGGUUAAGUCCCGCAACGAGCGCAACCCUUAUCCUUUGUUGCCAGCGGUCCGGCCGGGAACUCAAAGGAGACUGCCAGUGAUAAACUGGAGGAAGGUGGGGAUGACGUCAAGUCAUCAUGCUCGACGUC